CAGCCGCCGCGGUAAAACCAGCAGCCCAAGUGGUGGUCGCGAUUAUUGGGCCUAAAGCGCUCGUAGCCGGGCCGGUAAGUCCCUUGUGAAAUCGGACGGCCUAACCGUUCGGCGUGCAAGGGAUACUGUCGGUCUUGAGGCCGGGAGACGUCCGAUGUACUCCGGGGGUAGCGGUGAAAUGUUCUGAUCCUCGGGGGACCACCGGUGGCGAAGGCGUUCGACGAGAACGGGCCUGACGGUGAGGGGCGAAGGCUAGGGGAGCAAACGGGAUUAGAUACCCGUGUAGUCCCUGUCUCUUAUA
rnacentral:rRNA from 1 species